AUUGAACGCUGGCGGCAUGCCUUACACAUGCAAGUCGAACGGGGGUAGCAAUACCCUAGUGGCGAACGGGUGAGUAAAGCAUCGGAACGUACCCAGUCGUGGGGGAUAACGUAGCGAAAGUUACGCUAAUACCGCAUACGAUCUGAGGAUGAAAGCAGGGGACUCGCAAGAGCCUUGCGCGAUUGGAGCGGCCGAUGUCGGAUUAGCUAGUUGGUGAGGUAAAAGCUCACCAAGGCGACGAUCCGUAGCUGGUCUGAGAGGAUGAUCAGCCACACUGGGACUGAGACACGGCCCAGACUCCUACGGGAGGCAGCAGUGGGGAAUUUUGGACAAUGGGGGAAACCCUGAUCCAGCCAUGCCGCGUGAGUGAGGAAGGCCUUCGGGUUGUAAAGCUCUUUCAGACGGAAAGAAAUGGUCUUGGCUAAUACCCGAGAUCGAUGACGGUACCGUAAGAAGAAGCACCGGCUAACUACGUGCCAGCCGCCGCCGUAA
rnacentral:rRNA from 1 species